rnacentral:tRNA from 1 species
GGGGUAUGAAACCUAGUUUUGAUUUCUAAUCGAAGACUAAAGUGAUUAGUGACACUUGUACUCCU